CCUACGGGUGGCAGCAGUGGGGAAUAUUGCACAAUGGGGGGAACCCUGAUGCAGCGACGCCGCGUGAGUGAAGAAGUAUUUCGGUAUGUAAAGCUCUAUCAGCAGGGAAGAAAAUGACGGUACCUGACUACGAAUCCCCGGCUAACUACGUGCCAGCAGCCGCGGCCAUACGUAGGGGGCAAGCGUUAUCCGGAUUUACUGGGCGUAAGGGGAGCGCAGACGGGUGUGCAAGUCUGGAGUGAAAGGCGGGGGCCCAACCCCCGGACUGCUCUGGAAACUGUAAGGCUGGAGUGCAGGAGAGGUAAGCGGAAUUCCUAGUGUAGCGGUGAAAUGCAUAGAUAUUAGGAGGAAUACCAGUGGCGAAGGCGGCUUACUGGACUGCAACUGACGUUGAGGCUCGAAAGCGUGGGGAGCAAACAGGAUUAGAUACCCCUGUAGUC
rnacentral:rRNA from 1 species